GUUGAAGUUUAGGGUUUAGAGUUGAAGUUUAGGGUUUAGGGUUUAGAGUUGAUGUUUUAGGGUUUAGAGUUGAAAGUUUAGGGUUUAGGGUUUAGAGUUGAUGUUUCGGUGUUUAGGAUUUAGAGUUGAUGUUUUAGGGUUUAUGGUUCGUAUUAAAAAAAAUAUGGUUUAGGUUUGAUGGUUUAGAGUUGAGUUUUAGGGUUUAGGGUUUG
rnacentral:lncRNA from 1 species